rnacentral:lncRNA from 1 species
UUUCUCGAAUUCCUCCAUGGUCAGUUGCUUCCCUGUCUGAAGAUCGCUUACUCUAUUCCAGCUUCCGUUUUGAUCGUACUCGUUAACUACAAAUUCUUUACCCGUGUCCAAAUUCUUGAUAAGGAAGAAGGCACCUAGGCCAUUGGUCGGCACAAUCGACUUAGUGCCUUGUUUGUGACCGCCUCCGCCGUUGCCACCUCCUGCAGCCGAUUGUCCGUUUCCGUCUUCUGGAUUGGCGAUUCGUACCGAUUCUGGAUAGCUGGAAUAGUUGUAAAUCCUAGCGUGUGAUACAAUAAUU